CUUGACCUACGGGGGGCAGCAGUGGGGAAUAUUGCACAAUGGGGGAAACCCUGAUGCAGCGACGCCGCGUGAGUGAAGAAGAAUCUCGGUACGCAAAGCUCUAUCAGCAGGGAAGAAAAUGACGGUACCUGACUAAGAAGCCCCGGCUAACUACGUGCCAGCAGCCGCGGUAAUACGUAGGGGGCAAGCGUUAUCCGGAUUUACUGGGUGUAAAGGGAGCGUAGACGGCAGCACAAGUCUGAAGUGAAAGCCCGUGG
rnacentral:rRNA from 1 species